UGACCAAAAUAGUAUUUUAUCUUUUGAAAAAUUUAAUUUUUUUUAUUUUUCAAAAUUUGAAAUCUUAUCCCAAAACCACACUCCCCAAUUCUAAACCCUAAACCCUAAAACCUAAACUCUAAACCCUAAAUCCUAAACCCCACCCCUUAACUCUAAACCCAAAACCCAAAACCCUAAACUCCACCCCUAAACUCUGAGGGAAGAGAAUGUACCUUAGGGAGAGGAGAGGAGUUUAGGAGGAAUGGACGAGGCAGCCUCGUCUCGGCGUCCCAAUAUAUAAAAAAUGUUUCGUCGUAAACGCGACGUAACAUUACGGCGAAGUUACCAGGCCCGCGUUUUUUCAUUUACGACGAAGUUACCGGGCCCGCGUUUUUCGAUUUACGACGAAAUUACGUCGAAAUGUCGGUUUACGACGAAUUUACAAG
rnacentral:lncRNA from 1 species